rnacentral:pre_miRNA from 1 species
AAAGUACUCCCUCCAUCCCAAAAUUCUUGUCUUAGAUUUGUCUAGAUACGGAUGUAUCAAGUCACGUUUUAGUAUUAGAUACAUCCGUAUCUAGACAAAUCUAAGACAAGAAAUUUGGGACAGAAGGAGUAGUUG